rnacentral:rRNA from 1 species
GCUGCAACUCGCCUGCAUGAAGUUGGAAUUGCUAGUAAUCGCGAAUCAGAAUGUCGCGGUGAAUACGUUCCCGGGCCUUGUACACACCGCCCGUCACACCAUGAGAGUCGAUAACACCCGAAGCCUGUGAGCUAACCUUUUAGGAGGCAGCAGUCGAAGGUGGGGUUGAUGAUUGGGGUGAAGUCGUAACAAGGUAUC